rnacentral:rRNA from 1 species
UACAGAGGGUGCGAGCGUUAAUCGGAAUUACUGGGCGUAAAGCGCACGUAGGUGGCUUUGCAAGUCGAUUGUGAAAUCCCCGGGCUUAACCUGGGAACUGCAGUCGAGACUGCUCUGCUUGAGUAUGGGAGAGGGAGGUGGAAUUUCCGGUGUAGCGGUGAAAUGCGUAGAUAUCGUGAGGAAUACCAGAGGCGAAGGCGGCUACCUGGACAAUUGCUGACGCUCAGGCACGAAAGCGUGGGGAGCAAAAGGG